rnacentral:rRNA from 1 species
CCUACGGGUGGCAGCAGUGGGGAAUAUUGGGCAAUGGGCGCAAGCCUGACCCAGCAACGCCGCGUGAAGGAAGAAGGCUUUCGGGUUGUAAACUUCUUUUCUUAGGGACGAAGAAAGUGACGGUACCUGAGGAAUAAGUCACGGCUAACGAUGUGCCAGCAGCCGCGGUAAUACGUAGGUGGCAAGCGUUAUCCGGAUUUAUUGGGUGUACAGGGCGUGUAGGCGGGAGCGCAAGUCAGAUGUGAAAUCUCAGGGCUCAACCCUGAGUCUGCAUUUGAAACUGUGUGUCUUGAGUGCUGGAGAGGCAAGCGGAAUUCGGGGUGUAGCGGUGAAAUGCGUAGAUAUACGGAGGAACACCAGUGGCGAAGGCGGAUUGCUGGACAGUAACUGACGCUGAGGCGCGAAAGCGUGGGGAGCAAACAGGAUUAGAUACCCGGGUAGUC